rnacentral:rRNA from 1 species
GAUGGACGCUGGCGGCGUGCCUAAUACAUGCAAGUCGAGCGAACGGACGAGAAGCUUGCUUCUCUGAUGUUAGCGGCGGACGGGUGAGUAACACGUGGAUAACCUACCUAUAAGACUGGGAUAACUUCGGGAAACCGGAGCUAAUACCGGAUAAUAUUUUGAACCGCAUGGUUCAAAAGUGAAAGACGGUCUUGCUGUCACUUAUAGAUGGAUCCGCGCUGCAUUAGCUAGUUGGUAAGGUAACGGCUUACCAAGGCAACGAUGCAUAGCCGACCUGAGAGGGUGAUCGGGCACACUGGAAAUGAGACAAGGUCCAGACUCCUAAGGGAGGCAGCAGUAGGGAAUCUUCCGCAAUGGGCGAAAGCCUGACGGGGCAACGCCGCGUGAGUGAUGAAGGGCUUCGGAUCGUAAAAAUCUGUUAUUAGGGAAGAACAUAUGUGUAAGUAACUGUGCACAUCUUGACGGUACCUAAUCAGAAAGCCACGGCUAACUACGUGC